AGAGUUUGAUCCUGGCUCAGGACGAACGUUGGCGGCGUGCUUAACACAUGCAAGUCGAGCGGAGAUACGGAGCAGCUUGCUACCCGAAGAUCUUAGUGGCGNNNNNNNNNNNNNNNNNNNNNNNNNNNNNNUAACGGCGGGGAACCGGUGCUAAUACCGGAUAACCUCUUUGGAUCGCAUGAUUUGAAGAGAAAAGGUGGCCUCUUUACAAUGCUACCACUUACAGAUGAAUCCGCGUCCCAUUAGCCAGUUGGUGGGGUAAAGGCCUACCAAAGCGACGAUGGGUAGCCGGCCUGAGAGGGUGACCGGCCACACUGGAACUGAGAUACGGUCCAGACUCCUACGGGAGGCAGCAGUGGGGAAUCUUCCGCAAUGGGCGAAAGCCUGACGGAGCAACGCCGCGUGAGCGAAGAAGGUCUUCGGAUUGUAAAGCUCUGUGAUAUUGGACGAACAAUUUGACGGUACAAUAAGAGGAAGCCACGGCUAACUACGUGCCAGCAGCCGCGGUAAUACGUAGGUGGCAAACGUUGUCCGGAAUUACUGGGCGUAAAGGGCGAGUAGGUGGUUUAUUAAGUCAAGAGUGAAAACUCCAGGCUCAACUUGGAGACUGCUCUACGAAACUGGUAGACUUGAGUGCAAGAGAGGGAAGUGGAAUUCCUAGUGUAGCGGUGAAAUGCGUAGAUAUUAGGAGGAACACCAGUGGCGAAGGCGACUUCCUGGCUUGUAACUGACACUGAGGCGCGAAAGCGUGGGGAUCAAACAGGAUUAGAUACCCUGGUAGUCCACGCCGUAAACGAUGAGUGCUAGGUGUCGGGGGUAUCGACCCCCUCGGUGCCACAGCUAACGCAAUAAGCACUCCGCCUGGGGAGUACGGUCGCAAGACUGAAACUCAAAGGAAUUGACGGGGGCCCGCACAAGCGGUGGAGUAUGUGGUUUAAUUCGACGCAACGCGAAGAACCUUACCAAGGCUUGACAUCCCGUGACAGCUAUGGAAACAUAGUCUUUCGCCUUCGGGUGAACACGGAGACAGGUGGUGCAUGGUUGUCGUCAGCUCGUGUCGUGAGAUGUUGGGUUAAGUCCCGCAACGAGCGCAACCCCUACAGCUAGUUGCCAGCACGUAAUGGUGGGAACUCUAGCAGAACUGCCGUUGACAAAACGGAGGAAGGUGGGGAUGACGUCAAAUCAUCAUGCCCCUUAUGUCUUGGGCUACACACGUACUACAAUGGCCUGAACAGAGGGAAGCGAAAGGGCGACCUGGAGCANAAUCCCAUAAAGCCGGUCUCAGUUCGGAUUGGAGUCUGCAACUCGACUCCAUGAAGCUGGAAUCGCUAGUAAACGCAGAUCAUCAUGCUGCGUUGAAUACGUUCUCGGGCCUUGUACACACCGCCCGUCACACCAUGGGAGCCAGUAACACCCGAAGCCGGUGAGCUAACUUAACGGAGGCAGCUGUCGAAGGUGGGAUUGGUGACUGGGGUGAAGUCGUAACAAGGUAACC
rnacentral:rRNA from 1 species